AAUGCCCCAUGGUGAUGUCCUCAGGCAUCUGAGGUCAUCUAAAGAUCCGUCGGAUGGGGAUAGGCUCGCGUGACAUUAGCUAGACGGCGGGGUAACGGCCCACCGUGGCGACGAUGUCUAGGGGUUCUGAGAGGAAGGUCCCCCACACUGGAACUGAGACACGGUCCAGACUCCUACGGGAGGCAGCAGUGAGGAAUAUUGGUCAAUGGCCGGAAGGCUGAACCAGCCAUGCCGCGUGAAGGUCAGUGCCCUAUGGGCGUUAAACUUCUUUUGUGCGGGAGCAAUAAUGGUCACGUGUGGCUAGACGAGAGUACCGUACGAAUAAGCAUCGGCUAACUCCGUGCCAGCAGCCGCGGUAAUACGGGGGAUGCAAGCGUUAUCCGGAUUUAUUGGGUUUAAAGGGUGCGUAGGCUGUGAGGUAAGUCAGCGGUGAAAUGCCCCCGCUCAACGGGGUGAAGUGCCAUUGAUACUGCCUUGCUGGAAUGCGGAUGCCGUGGGAGGAAUGUGUGGUGUAGCGGUGAAAUGCAUAGAUAUCACACAGAACACCGAUUGCGAAGGCAUCUCACGAAUCCGCGAUUGACGCUGAUGCACGAAAGCGUGGGUAUCAAACAGGAUUAGAUACCCUGGUAGUCCACGCUGUAAACGAUGAUGACUAACCGUCGGCGAUACACAGUCGGUGGCCAAGC
rnacentral:rRNA from 1 species